UACGUAGGGACCGAGCGUUGUCCGGAAUCAUUGGGCGUAAAGAGCGUGUAGGCGGCUAUUUAAGUCCUGCGUGAAAUCCUGCGGCUCAACCGCAGACGGUCGUGGGAAACUGGAUGGCUAGAGUGCGGGAGAGGAGAGUGGAAUUCCCGGUGUAGUGGUGGAAUGCGUAGAUAUCGGGAGGAACACCAGUGGCGAAGGCGGCACCCUGGCCCACACCUGACGCUGAUGUGCGAAAGCGUGGGUAGCAAACAGG
rnacentral:rRNA from 1 species